rnacentral:rRNA from 1 species
AAUAGCUCUUGGAAACGAGUGGUAAUACCGUAUACGCCCUCCGGGGGAAAGAUUUAUCGGUGAAAGAUCGGCCCGCGUUAGAUUAGCUAGUUGGUAGGGUAAUGGCCUACCAAGGCGACGAUCUAUAGCUGGUCUGAGAGGAUGAUCAGCCACACUGGGACUGAGACACGGCCCAGACUCCUACGGGAGGCAGCAGUGGGGAAUCUUGCACAAUGGGCGAAAGCCUGAUGCAGCCAUGCCGCGUGAAUGAUGAAGGCCUUAGGGUUGUAAAAUUCUUUCGCCAGGGAUGAUAAUGACAGUACCUGGUAAAGAAGCCCCGGCUAACUUCGUGCCAGCAGCCGCGGUAAUACGAAGGGGGCUAGCGUUGUUCGGAAUUACUGGGCGUAAAGCGCACGUAGGCGGACUUUUAAGUCAGAUGUGAAAUCCCGGGGCUCAACCUCGGAACUGCAUUUGAAACUGGAAGUCUAGAGACCAGGAGAGGUUAGCGGAAUACCGAGUGUA